rfam:Picea glauca, whole genome shotgun sequence.
CUAAAGGCUUUUCUCAAAGCCAUUUUUCUCUCUGGAUUGUAUUUUCU